CCCCUCUCGGGGUCACACCUGGAGAGUUUCUAGGACUCUACCAGUCACGACUACAGGAGGGCGAGUCCAGCAGAAGCAUUCCCAUUCCACUCCUAGACUGGGCAGUGGCUAGUGAGUGGAAGGCCAUCUGCUACAAGU